rnacentral:rRNA from 1 species
UGGGGAAUAUUGGACAAUGGGCGCAAGCCUGAUCCAGCAAUACCACGUGAGUGAUGAAGGCCUUCGGGUUGUAAAACUCUUUUAGUAGGGAAGAUAAUGACGGUACCUACAGAAAAAGCACCGGCUAACUUCGUGCCAGCAGCCGCGGUAAUACGAAGGGUGCUAGCGUUGUUCGGAAUCAUUGGGCGUAAAGCGUGCGUAGGCGGUUUAGUAAGUCAGCUGUGAAAGCCCAGGGCUUAACCCUGGAAUUGCAGUUGAAACUGCUAGGCUCGAGUAUGGAGUGGGAUAGUGGAAUUCCUAGUGUAGGGGUGAAAUCCGUAGAUAUUAGGAGGAACACCGGUGGCGCAAGCGACUAUCUAUACCAUUACUGACGCUGUUGCACGAAAGCGUGGGGAGCAAACAGGAUUAGAUACCCCCGUAGUCC